GGACAGGUUGUUCCAAUUACCCAUGGAGGAAGGAAAAUAAGGAGGGAGUGUGACGUCAUUUUGUGCGAUUCCGGAAGUUUGGGUGAGGAGAAGCAACUGGGACAAACAAGCAAUUACCUAUCGCUGAGUAUAGACAGCAGUCUCAUGGGAUGCUCUGCUCUGCAUUUAUGCCUAGCGGGCCCAAAAGCUGAAAGAUGUUGUCAAAUCAUUGCCCGUCUUGAAUGCAACAGAGGCGUACGUUGCUCAGGUGCAGUAUCUCCACGACUCCAUUGAUCCCGAGUCUAUGUGCCUGGACGCAGCAGGAUUCUUUCGCAUCAACCUAUCGAUGCUCGUCUCGAUGUCCGGGUCCAUUAUAACGUACACCGUCAUACUCGUGCAAACAAGCACAGACCUGGAAGAUGACAGAACAGCGGCAUAAGUAUGGUGCAUAACCUUCGCCAGCAUCUUCGUGCAGACCACGGCCAGCAUCUGUGAGGAGGAAGAAGAAGUAGCAGUCCACUAGCGUAACAGCGAGAUAGCGAUAAAAUGGCUGUCUCCACGCUGUCCAGCGGUUCGUUGAGAGCAGGUUGAAGGAAAACCACCCCGGUCUUCCGAACACAAGUCUAUUCUGCUAUUGGGCUGUGUACUGUCUUCUGUCUACGUCAGACCUACAUAUUAAAAUAAUUUAUAU